rnacentral:rRNA from 1 species
AGGGCACCACCAGGAGUGGAGCCUGCGGCUUAAUUUGACUCAACACGGGAAAACUCACCAGGCCCGGACACCGGAAGGAUUGACAGAUUGAGAGCUCUUUCUUGAUUCGGUGGGUGGUGGUGCAUGGCCGUUCUUAGUUGGUGGAGCGAUUUGUCUGGUUAAUUCCGAUAACGAACGAGACUCUGGCCUACUAACUAGACGUUGAAUCCCUUGUGGGUUCUUCGCAGCUUCUUAGAGGGACGGGCGGCGUUUAGCCGCACGAAACAGAGCAAUAACAGGUCUGUGAUGCCCUUAGAUGUCCGGGGCCGCACGCGCGCUACACUGAAGUGAUCAGCGUGCAUUUUCCACCUGCUCCGUCAGGAGUGGGGAACCCAAUGAACCUUCUUCGUGAUUGGGAUAGGGGAUUGUAAUUAUUCCCCUUGAACGAGGAAUUCCCAGUAAGCGCGAGUCAUAAGCUCGCGUUGAUUACGUCCCUGCCCUUUGUACACACCGCCCGUCGCUACUACCGAUUGAAUGAUU